rnacentral:rRNA from 1 species
UACGUAGGGUGCAAGCGUUGUCCGGAAUUAUUGGGCGUAAAGAGCUCGUAGGCGGUCUGUCGCGUCUGCUGUGAAAACUCAGGGCUUAACCCUGAGCUUGCAGUGGGUACGGGCAGACUAGAGUGCGGUAGGGGAGACUGGAAUUCCGUGGUGUAGCGGUGAAAUGCGCAGAUAUCAGGGAGGAACACCGGUGGCGAAGGCGACUCUUUGGCCUGUAACUGACA